UUGGAGGAGUACUAUGCCACUGAUGAGACCGAAGGUGGAAUAGACUCGACCGGGAACGAGAUAUAUAUCAACUUGAAUGGAGAGUCUAUUGAAAUUGACAAGGAAUGCCGAUAGAAGCACAUGGAUGGAAGACUGACGAAGGAUAAAAGAAAGAUAGAGAAGGAGUCAGAGAAACGAGGUUGUAGAGAGAAAGAGGCACGGAUCGCAUAGAUCGUCGGCGCAGACAGCCGCGCCAUUAGAUACGCCCAUCUCAAUCACCGGCGCACGGAGGGUCAUAAAUUCUUGGCCCGUAAUAGAGAAGGGGGAAAACGAGAGGUGAUGCUGCGAGGAGGUGACGGAGGUGCGCGUGUUGAAAAUGCACCCAAGCUUAUGGUCGGCCCACCUUUCCCUCUUCCAAUCUCUCUCCCUCUCUUUCUCUUUCUCUUUCUUUCCUACAUAAAGUGUGUAUGUGUGUAUAUAUAUAUAUAUAUUCUCUAUACCUAUACUAUAUAAAACUUAAUUUGAUAUAUUCUAUACUAUCAAAGUAAACCUCUAUCAU